UUUCUUUUACACAUGUGGGCAUCCAACAC
rnacentral:piRNA from 1 species